UACGUAGGGUGCAAGCGUUGUCCGGAAUUAUUGGGCGUAAAGAGCUCGUAGGCGGUUCGUCACGUCGGCUGUGAAAACCCGGGGCUCAACCCCGGGCCUGCAGUCGAUACGGGCGAAUUAGAGUGUGGUAGGGGAGACUGGAAUUCCUGGUGUAGCGGUGAAAUGCGCAGAUAUCAGGAGGAACACCGGUGGCGAAGGCGGGUCUCUGGGCCGAUACUGACGCUGAGGAGCGAAAGCGUGGGGAGCAAACAGG
rnacentral:rRNA from 1 species